CGGGCCUGCAGCGGGGGUUGUAAAUAUCACGCAUAGAUGCGGGAUCGGCCGCGAAAGAGUUAAUCCCUGCUGAUAAUAUAUGUGAGCUGUGUGCAAUAUAAUAGAGCUGUGUGUAACUACGUACCUGUAUAGGUAUAUAGCGACUUGUGGUCGACUCUGCGCCACACGCAGAAGGAUGCACUGUACACCAUUCACAGACUACAGAUGUCAUAAUAAUUCAAAGUAUGGCCCAGAACCAGUAGAUGGAGAUGCC